AGAGGACCAGGAGCAUCAGAGGACCAGAGGACCAGGAGCAUCAGAGGACCAGGAGCAAGAAGCAGCAGGAAUAUUAGCCUAAUAGUGUUUUACUCUCCAAAGACCCAACUGAUACUCAGGAUGCACAGGUGUGUCGGUGGAGUUUGUGUGUCUCUUAUUGUGUGCGCGUUUCUUACGGAAACACUCGGAAUGGCGAUUGCGGCCAAGGAGAAGAGAGGAUGGACCCUCAACAGCUCCUCGGUCCUCAUGCCAUAGACAGCCACAGGGGCCUUAGCGACAAGCACGGACUGGCAGGCAAGAGAGAAAUGCCCAUUUCAAGACAGCCGCUCUGAGGAUAGCAGAUGAGGAUAUUGUCCACACUAUUAUAGACUUUCUUUCAUAUCUCAAAUUAAAAGAAAUCGGAGCUCUCGACAGUCUGCCUUCCUCUCUCACGUCAGAGGAAAUAAGUCAAGCCUAAUUUUGACCGAAUCCAGCACUGACACACCGUGACCUCCACCGCACCCGGCUGAACUCGCUCUCAGAGGCUGUAUUGACGUUCAGCGUCUUCUCCACCGCACUGUUCUCGACACGCUAAACUCUCAAUAUCACCACGCAACUUUAAUCUGUCAGAAUCACUUGACGGCUGGUGUGGAGAUGGAUUCAAAAAAUAAAACUCAUAAAUGGCAUUCGACUCA